rnacentral:rRNA from 1 species
UACAGAGGUGGCAAGCGUUGUUCGGAAUUACUGGGCGUAAAGGGCGCGUAGGCGGCUUUGUAAGUCGGAUGUGAAAUCCCUCGGCUUAACCAAGGAAGUGCAUCCGAAACUGCAAGGCUUGAGGGCCGGAGAGGAGAUCGGAAUUCACGGUGUAGCAGUGAAAUGCGUAGAGAUCGUGAGGAAGACCCGUGGCGAAGGCGGAUCUCUGGACGGCUAACUGACGCUGAGGCGCGAAGGCCAGGGGAGCAAACGGG